ensembl:lncRNA
CAGCGAUAUAUAAUCAUUUUCUUUCGAAGCAUUUACAAUACUUAGGAUGGAAGAAAAAAACCAUAAGCAACCUAGAGAUUUAUCGUUCAGCGAAUACUUAUUUCAUGAAAUUGGGGUGCCUAAACUUUUGCACUUCCUGUGUACAUCUGUUUCUUUUCUUUUAAUGGUUACAAUGCUCGUUAUUAAAGAGACCCUGAAAAACCCGGGCUUGACUUUUUUGCUCCUCUGAGCACGUCGGAAGCAUCAUCAUGAGUGGACUCCAGUGCCUGGCCCAGGAGAAGAUCUGGUUCGACAAAUCCAAAUAUGACGAGGCCGAGCGAUGCUUCUAUGAGGGAGUAAACGGCGUACCUUCGGCUCCACAGGUACCUCAUUAUACACAACCGAGCAGCGGAAAUUAGUCCAGCUGUGCUCCGUGGCCUCGUCCUCGUUGAUAUUAAUCAGACCAGACCCUUGUGUGAAUCCUGCCUGAUAAAGACUUUCUGUAUUCCGAGAUCACAUAAUAAGAAAUAUAAUCAGCAUCAGGCCGUUUGUUCACUUGAUAUUUGUUUGUCCGUGGCCUAAGAGCGAAGUGCAGUGUCUUCUUUCAAAGCUCUUUAAUCACCUAACACG